UACGUAGGUGGCAAGCGUUGUCCGGAUUUAUUGGGUUUAAAGGGUGCGUAGGCGGCUUUGUAAGUCAGUGGUGAAAUACGGUAGCUUAACUAUCGAGGUGCCAUUGAUACUGCAGAGCUUGAGUACAGAUGAGGUAGGCGGAAUUGACGGUGUAGCGGUGAAAUGCUUAGAUAUCGAGAGGAACACCUGUGGCGAAGGCGGGUUGCUGGGCUGACACUGACGCUGAGGCGCGAAAGCUAGGGGAGCGAACGGG
rnacentral:rRNA from 1 species